GAAAGAUUAAUACCCGAUGGCAUAGUUCUUCCGCAUGGUAGAACUAUUAAAGAAUUUCGGUCAUCGAUGGGGAUGCGUUCCAUUAGGUUGUUGGCGGGGUAACGGCCCACCAAGCCUUCGAUGGAUAGGGGUUCUGAGAGGAAGGUCCCCCACAUUGGAACUGAGACACGGUCCAAACUCCUACGGGAGGCAGCAUG
rnacentral:rRNA from 1 species